GGGCGGUUAGCUCAGCGGUAGAGCAUUGCAUUCACAUUGCAGGGGCCACAGGUUCGAAUCCUGUACCGCCCACCA
rnacentral:tRNA from 1 species